AUGACACGACACCAACACUUCAGCCUCCAGUUUCUUUUAUACGUUAUCCUUUAUUGGUAGCAUCGAAAACCUUCCGAGUUUGAGUGAACGGAAAAUAAAAAUCCUCGUGACACACAGAUGGUCCUGAAACCCGCGCGAGCAGAACCCGCGCUCGUGCAACGAACACGACGACGAAAAAACUUCACCUUCACGUUAACGAUCAGCUGACGGUCGAUGUGGGAGAAGGGUGCAAAUAAACAGAAUUCACAGGAGGAGAUCUACAACUCUGCACUAACAUUACUGCUGAGACAGUGCAGGAAGCGGCAUGUGUUCGCCAACCAGAACGAAACGGUCUCAAAGUCAUCACCUCGCUUCUGCAUGGGGGGGGGACACGCAGACAUACACAGUCAUAGUGAGAGUGUGUGUGUGUGUAUAUAUAUAUAUAUGUGUAUAUGUGUGUGUGCGCGUGUAUGUACUUUGAGGAUC